rnacentral:rRNA from 1 species
UACGGAAGGCAGCAGUGGGGAAUAUUGCACAAUGGGCGCAAGCCUGAUGCAGCCAUGCCGCGUGUAUGAAGAAGGCCUUCGGGUUGUAAAGUACUUUCAGUCGUGAGGAAGGUGUUAAGGUUAAUAACCUUAGCAAUUGACGUUAGCGACAGAAGAAGCACCGGCUAACUCCGUGCCAGCAGCCGCGGUAAUACGGAGGGUGCGAGCGUUAAUCGGAAUUACUGGGCGUAAAGGGCACGCAGGCGGUUAAUUAAGUUGGAUGUGAAAUCCCCGGGCUUAACCUGGGAAUGGCAUUCAAGACUGGUUAGCUAGAGUCUUGUAGAGGGGGUAGAAUUCCAUGUGUAGCGGUGAAAUGCGUAGAGAUGUGGAGGAAAUACCGGUGGCGAAGGCGGCCCCUGGACAAAGACUGACGCUCAUGUGCGAAAGCGUGGGGAGCAAACAGGGAUUAGAUACC